GAUGAAGAACGUAGCGAAAUGCGAUAAGUAAUGUGAAUUGCAGAAUUCCGUGAAUCAUCGAAUCUUUGAACGCACAUUGCGCCCCCUGGUAUUCCUGGGGGCAUGCCUGUCCGAGCGUCAUUGCAACCCUCAAGCGCGGCUUGUGUGUUGGGCUUCGUCCCCCCGUGGACGUGCCCGAAAGGCAGUGGCGGCGUCCCGAAUGGUGCCCGAGCGUAUGGGAACUCUCUUCCGCUCGAACCGGCCCAUUCGGCGCUGGUCGAACCCCAAUUUUUUUUUACCGGUUGACCUCGGAUCAGGUAGGGAUACCCGCUGAACUUAAGCAUAUCAAUAAGCGGAGGA
rnacentral:misc_RNA from 1 species